GCGGAGGGCCCGGGAGAUGGCCUGGAGCGGCUCCUCAGGCAGUUGCAGUUAGGGGAGUUUCCCGUCGAGGAGUCUGCACUCCGCCCUGCAGCCGCUGGAGCCCCCCGGGACGUCCCCUCCUGUGGGCCGAGGCUGGGACGUCCCCACCUGGAGGAGCCCAACUGUUUAAUUGCUCUCUUGUGCACUGAACACUGACAAGCACAGCCAACCCUAGUCGAGCACCUUCCGCGAAGUGUGUCUUGUGUAAACCAUAGACUUGGACGUGGCCCAGUUGAAUCUCGUGGCGUCCUGUGGCUUUGUGGUGCUCGGGGUCUCUCCAAAGAACUGCGCAGCUGUUCAGAAGCGGGAAAAAAAUCUGCACUCCAUCGUGGAGCCCAACCCUGCUUACAGCGCCGGGGCCUCGGGAGCACCAGUUCCGCUCCUGCUGAAGUGCUGGUGUGGGCUGCCUGCUUGCAAGAGCGCACAUCGCUCGCCUGGCUCUUCAGAAAACACUGCGUUCGUGCCUGUUUUUGCUAACCAGAGGGACUCCGGGGGGUUUCCACUUUCACAAGAGAAGAGAGAAGUGAUGGUUUUGCAGCAGCAACUAGAGGCUGGGACCUGCGAGCAGAGGUGGCCUCCCCAGGCCUGCCCCAGAACUGCUGCAGAUGGGCUGUGAGUGUCCACUUGGUCCUGCUUUACUAGGCGUGUGUUUUUUUAGUUUCUGCGUGUUACCUGGUGUGAUGUGGUGGGUUAUUUUUGGAUCUGGGAACACUCAGAUAUUUUCCAUAGAAGGUGGCGGUGCUGUUCUGUGGCCUCCCGCCAUUUUAGCUCAUGGAAGCUUUCGCCAGCCCACAGGUAGCAGGCGAUGGGUACAUGGGACAGCUGUGGGAACACCUGCAGCGAUAUGGCAAAGCAGGUCACUCUGUCGGCUUGACCAGGGCCCCAGUAUGUUCACUUGGGUUUGUUUACCAGAGCUUUAACUCGCAUGUGCCUGUGCUUCUCAGAAGCUGGGAGCACAGGUGAGGGUUUCAUUCUCUGCGUACGUCACAGAGCUGGUGGCGCAGCACUAGUGCCAGGUUGCAGUGAAAUGACUCGCCUGUUGCAGAGCACUGCACACACAUAGCUGCGAUUUGCCCUGGAGCUUUCCAUGAUGCAGGGAAGCUCUUCCUGUUUCAGAGUAUCACGCUCGGGACAGUCAUUACACAGACCCAGGAGAGCACCCCAUGCCUUCAAACACGAGCACCCAGAGAAGACACCAUCCCGACGUGGGUGACAGCUGCUUCCAGCAGGGCAGGAUCACCUGCUCUGUGUUCCCUGCAAACCCGCCAGAGAGAACAGGCCACACGAGAGCUGUCUGUGGGAAUAAAACGGAGCUGCCAGGCUGUCAAGGUGAUGAAACCUUGGCAAGGAUUAUCGAAUCAGCUGUUGAGACUCCCUCCCUGGAGAACUUCAGGAAGAGAGCAGGCAUCUAUCUGUUCUAGAAACUUAGACAUUUCACUGCUGGAGGACAAAUUAAAACUUCCAGCUGGACCAAAUGAUUUUUCAAGGUCCCUUCCAGCUCAGUCAUUUCUCACUAUCAAUUAUUUUCCACCUGACAACUUGCAACUUUUAAAAGGAGCUCUUCUGUAUUUCUUAAAGCACAACUCCCUUCUAAACUUUCAAUUAAGUGUCAUUGAUUAUAUUUCCUUUAACCUGCAUCCCAAGUAAACACAAUGUUCUGUAGCAGGAUAACCUGCAGCUUCCAUUUAAUAUCUGCUGCCAUUUCAUGAGCAGAUCGGUGAGUCUGUGACUCUGUUGGCGUAGAAGCUGCAGAGACGGGCUUGGCAGACUGCCCUUGGUGUCCCAUGAAACCAGGGCACUCUGUUUCCUGCCUACACAUGAUUAUAUCUUAGCAAGGAUUUGUGUUUCCUUGGGAUUAUGUUUUGUUUUUUCCUAUUUGAAGAACUUGGGUCUGACUUGUUUGGAAUUUUACCCCGUAAUAAGUCAGGGGAGAGUCUUUUGGCUCUGAUAGCAUUUCCUCUGAAAGGCACCUCAACACGUGAAUCAGUGAGCCAGUGCCACAACCCGAGAAGAAAUUAACUCACCAUUGUUCAUCUUCAUAGUCCAUGUCUGGUGGUUUCCAUGGCGACUCCGUGGCUAGCUGCAUCUUUGCUUACCAGAUGUCUUAUUGUUCAACUGCUUGUCUAUCUUCAGAGUUUAAAGUUUGAAAACUGAAGCUCAAGAAGAACAUUUUUUCUAAAUAUCACAGAGAAGGCAAAAAAAACCCUAGAAUUUUCACGUCGUUAUGUGCAUGGAGACAGAACAGGGCAUCGUCCUGAGUCGCAUUACCUCGUGGGCUGUUCCCAUUUACAUGGGCUCUGAUCAGAGUCAUGAUGAUGAAGGUUUAGCUGUAACUGGAAUGAUUCCUGCCUUCCCGGUGCUGCCCCAUCCACCCCGUGGUGCAUCGGGUCACAGAGGAACCCCGUAGUGCUACCAGCACGCUGUGCCAGGUGGUGUGAGGAUUGGCAUUGGAGAGACGCUUUGGUUCAUGGCAACCUUUUUUGAAGAAAUGAGACCAAAUGACUGCCUGAGAAGUUCUCUGGGAAUAUUGACUUCCAUGUCGUUUUCUGAUAACAUCCUGGCACACGAUCACUUACUCUGUUAAAUUAGGACUAGGUGUCAAUUCCAUCCAGUUUCGCCCUCAACUUUGUGCCACAGAUGGGAGAACAAGCAGAGUAGUGGAGGCCAGUGUGCUGUGGACAGGCGAGCACUGGGCAUGAGUUUGCAGGGCGCCACACCUGUGCCGUGACCUGCCCAUACACACUGCUGUACCCGCAGGGGAGACUGGAGGGGCCAAACAGUCCAAACUACUGAAGAAAGUAAAUGUCUCGAUUCCAUUUCUUGGUGGAAAACUUAAUUUACAAUCCCAGAGAUGAAGAACUAAGAAAGAGAGUUAAAAUUCUAUUUAGAAUGUGAGGUUUUUUUUUUUUAAGAUUAGCAUCCGUGCAUGUUGUGAAAAUUAAGUAUUUUAAAUACAAUGUGAAGUUCUCCUUAGCUGUAAGGUUUUAAAUUGUCAGGGCAUUUUUCCUUUUUGUUCCAUGCAGUGACACGCUUUCUGCCUGCCUUGUACCCCAGACUGUGAAUUAGAAGAUUAGUGUUUGUGCGUUGUUGCAUUCAUGGAGAUUAUUACUUACAACAAAUCCCUCCAGAAAGUGAUUGGAGGAUUAACUUGUGAGCUCCAGCAGUGCAAAUGCUUGGAGGCGCCUGUGAGGUUUCAGGAUGCCCAGGUUGUUCAGAGGGCCUCACCUGCUCUGGAGCGGUGGCCACCACUCCCAGGGCUGAGGCUGUCUCUCGUCAGGCUCUCAGGAAGGGUGGUGAUGAAACCAAUACCUGAACUGUACUGAUGCACUUCCCUUCUAACAACUGAAUCUCGGCAUCUUUCACAUCCUUACGCGACGAGCCCGAGCAUCUUGAUGAAAGAACUCCAGACGCGCCGGUGAUUAUAGUAGAUGUCCUUCUGCCUAUCCCCGCUGCCUUCUGCUGUGUGUAAAUGCACUUAAUUUCCUUUGGGAAUUGCCUCUCCCUCUUCAAAAGUGUUCCUUCUUAGCAACACCAGCCUCUGUCUCUCGCUCCCCAUCCUGUCCUUCUGCUAGAGGGUUGGCAUUUGCCAUGGACAGCCCUGAAAGUUGCAUCUUGAGCAAAGGGACACAGAAUUUAAACACUGGGUGGACACUUACAUUCAGACUUGAGAGCACCUGUGAGUUAGUGCAGCCGAAGCCUCACCCUGCCCGCGUGAGGCUGGGGCUCCCGGCAUGCCUGUGAGUCCAGAUGAUGAUGUGGGUGAAGCCAUCUACUACUUAAGGAAGAUGUGAUACCAGUUGUAAUGUCAUUGAGGCAAUAGAAGAAAUCUCAUUUGAUAAGUGUGUUAUACCCAACAAUAAAGCAUUAAAGGAAAUCUGUAUUAACUUUUGUGUAAUAUU